ACAACAACAUUAGCCAUGGGCAGAGAAAUGUUUCUCCUGCUACAAGCUCAAGCACAAUGUGUCCUGGUCCUGCUCCUGGUUGCGGACGAGCAAGAUCGAUAGCACUCGACAGCCAAUUCAGACUUUGGUGUCUUCAUCGUGGUUUGCCGAUAUUUCGCUGCUGGCGACGGUGAUCAGGCUGCCAUAUUGGAAAGCAUCGCGACCACGGUGCCUGGGGAGUGGAAGGUGCACGCUGAAAUGUGACCCUCAUCGGUAACUUGUAGGUGUUAAUAAUUCGUCCCUUUCUUUGUACUAUGUAUGUUAUACAAUAAACUGCUGGAUUCAGAAACUGAAAUAGAAGCUGAUAAUAGCUGA